rnacentral:tRNA from 1 species
UGGCUCAGUUGGUAGAGCAUGGUGUUUGCAACGCCAGGGUUGUGGGUUCGAGUCCCAU